UUUGGCCAUUUCUAAAGAAUAGUCAAAGCAUUGUUUACCUUUUAGCCUCAUUAUAUAUUACUCCCCUUCUUACACUUUUCAGUCCAAUCAAACUGGUCUUCUUAAUGUUUUUCAGCCAAGACACUCCAAUCUCCUCUCUCCACCAUCCUUCCAGCCCCGCUCCAUCAUGCUCAUCCACAGGCUGGCUAUCCCUCAAGACUGGAAUUCACUCCCUCAGCCUCUCAGAAUCCCUAGAUUCCUUCAGAGCUCAAUCCUAUUGCCACCAUCUAUAUAAGGUCUUUCCUAAAUUCUACUGGCAUAUGCUUCCAGCUCUCCAGAUUUCUGGUUGGCUUCUCACAGAGCUGUAUACAGACACUUCAUUGUAACAACUGAUCCUCUCUGAAGAGCUGGGCAUUGCAGCUGCCCCUGUGUGUGAUAUUCCCUUUGGAAUCAAUGAGGGUUCCUUGCUGAGCAGCUGCAGUAUUGAGUCCUUAAGGAGAUACCUACAUUUUCUUCCUCAUUGGAAUUUAUGAUCCUUUAUGUCCAAAGGACUAUAAAACUGUUCAUACCCUCUGAUCCAGGAAUAUCACUAUUAGGUCUAUACUCCAAAAAGAGCAAAGAAAAAGGAAAAAGACCCAAAUAUGGAUAACAGCUCUUUUUGUGGUGACAAAGCAUUGGAAAUGGAGGGUGUGCCUAUCAAUUAGAGAAGAGUUGAACAAGUUAUGGCAUAUGAAUGUGAUAGAAUCCUAUUCUAUAAGAAAUGAUGAAGGGAAUAAUUUUUGAAAAACCUGGGAAGACCUUUGUGAACUGAUGGAAAAUGAAGUGAGCAGAACCAGGAGAACAAUCUACGGAGUAAAAGCAACAUUGUAAGGGAAAUCAAUUGUGGAAGAUUUAGUAUCUUUUAUCAAUAUUCACAUUCUAAAAUUCUAUCCACCUUCAGACAGAGAAUUGAUGGACUCGGAGUACAUAUUGGAGCAUUUCCCCCUUUUUCUUGAUCCCCUCACCCCCGAAAAUAGCAAGUGAAGAAAUGUUCUACAUGAUUUCAUAUAUAUAAUGGAUAUCAUAUUUCUAGCCUUCUCAAUGGAUAGGGGAGGGGUGGAGGGAGAGACUUUGGAACUGAAAGGUUUUUUUUUUUUUAAAAGCAGUGGUCCAGAAAAUAUAUAUACUAAUGGGAUUGGGGAGGAGAGAGAUAGCAAGGACUAUUUUUUUUUUUGCUUUUGCUUGUAAUGCUAGCUCUUAGCACAGUGCUUGGCAUAUAGUAAACACUUAAUAUAUGCUGGUUUUUUUAUUACAGUGGAUAUCAGGAUACCAGGUUCUAGUCUUGCAUCUGCCACUAGCUCACUCUAUGAUAUCUAGUAAGUUGCUCUCCUCUCUUGGGCUCUCAAUUUCCAUUUCUAUAAAAUAAGGGUUUGGGUGAAAAGAGACGAUCUUUAAAGUCCUUUCCACUUCUAAUAACUUAUGGUUCUAAGGUUUAUCUAUAAUCUUAUGAUUUACAUUAUGGGUCAAGACAAGCCCUAGAGCAGUGUUGGCAAAGGUUUUUCCAAGUUUGGGUGCUCAAACUGCAACUUCAAGCCACCUGUGAACCCCCGGCAUUAUCCCAGAGAGUGUGGGGGUUGGGGGACAGAGAGGAAGUGCUCUCUGGGCUGGACAGCAGGGCAGAGCAUGCAAAAAAUGUCCUUGGGCACUGGGAAGAGGGGGAAUGAAGAAGCUCCUGGAGUGCCAGCUGGGCACAUGUGCCAGGAUUUUGCCAAUGCUGCCCUAGAGUUGUGUAAAAACUAAAUCACUUCUUUCUUCAGAAACAGCUACAACACUUGGUUCAGGUUAAUAGUAAACUUACUGACUGCUACCUUAAGUAGAUUGACUCCCCUUGCCAGGUCUGACUUGGAAGCAUAUUACUCAUCUGUAAUCAUCUGAAAGAACAGGCCUAGAAAGGAAGUUCUUGCUUCUCAAGCUGAUAAUAUCUCAUAAUUUUUCACAAAACCAUUCUCCCUUAACCUUUGGUUCUCUCACCAUUCAAGGAAGAAUAGCUUUCCCCUCUUAAUAUGCAUGACUUGAACUCUGCCCAAAGCCCUAGACUGUAUCUUAAUCUAUUGCUCUAUCAAGAGUAACUCUUCAAUUAAUACCUUUAUCAUCUUCCCUCACAAUGAAAGUUCAAGUCCCUUGGCAGAGAACUCUUCACUUUUUAAAAAAUAAUAAACCAUCUCUAUCUCUAAUGUAUCACAACAUUGCAAUAUUAUGGUGUACUCCAUUAUUUGAAACACACAGUUUUAUUGCAGAGUUCUCUCUUGUUGCCUUUUCUAAGACUUUAAAUUAAUCUACACUUUGCCAAAGCAACAAGGUUCAGGCUUCUUCAUCUUUGAAAUCAAGGUUGAGCCCAAAUCAAUCUUAAUUGUUCAAUGUUUGUAUUUGUGAAGGUCACUCUGCCCACACUGAUAAACAUGUGUGCUGCCCUCUUUUUUUUUUUCAUUAACCAGCAAAAUCAGGAUACAUGACUACAAGAUUCAUAGCAGUAUUUUCUGGGAAAAACCCAACUUCCUGUUUUCCAGACUACUAAAAAAAUCAUGAUAACAGGUUUGCUUUUCUAUGAAAGAAAAGGAGAUUAUCCUGAUGGAACUUUGGAGAUCAUCUAGUCCAAGAACUCCCAAAUGACAGAGAAGGAAACUGAGGCCCAGAAAGGUAGAUGACUUGCUCAGAUUUACAGAGUAACUUUUACUCUCAGGUAUACUGACUACAAACUGAGUACUUUUCUCCCUUCACAAUACUAUUUUUUUAAUAUAAUGUACUUGGGUCAGAUGCCCAGAAGUUUUAAAAAUAUCAUCCCAUACCCAUACCCAUACCCAUACCUAUAUCCCAUACCCAUACAUAUUUUAUAUAUGUAAGAUAAAGAAGAAGUGAAAAACAAAGCUAAAUUAUUGAACAGAGAAAUAUGUCCCAGUGUAAAACAAUAUUAAAUGUCUGUGAAGAUUGGAGCAAAGAGGUGAUUUGGAUAGAGAAACCAAGCCUGGAGUCAGGAGACCUGGGUUCAAAUCUGGUCUCAGAUACUUCCUACUUAUGUGACCCUGGGUAAGUUACUUAACCCCAAUUGCCUAGCCCUUACUGCUCUUCUCUCUUAGAACUGAUACCUAGCAUCAAUUCUAAGCCAGAAAAGAAGUGUUGGGUUUUUUUAAAAUGCCUAUGAAGGUCUAUUCAACUCUAAAGUCUCUGAGGGAAUGUCCCAAAUCAAAGGUUACAGAGGAUUCUAUAAGCAUAGGUCAUUCUACCCACUCUGAUAAGCAUAUAUAUAUAUACCCCCAUGACCCCUUUGUCACUCUUUCAGACACUGUCAUAUGAAGCUUAGUAAAACUGAAGCAUAUAAAUAUAAUCUUCAUAGCUAUAUGUUAUAGGUAGGAAGCAUAGUACUUGGCACAUAGUUGGCACUUAAGUGAUUUUCCAUUCAUUUGUUCCUUAAACAUACUGAAAUAUAAUCAUAAUACUGACCAUUUAAAGAGGAAAUGAAGGACUUUCCUAAAGCUUACAGCACCAAGGAACAUGACAUAACUUCCUACCUGGCUGUACUCCUUUGGAUUCCAUCAUGUCCCUAAGAAUCUUGCCAUUAAGGAACUCAACAUCCUUUGAGAUUGUAUUAUUAUAUACUUUCUCCUCCACUUUUUCAUCUUUCUUGUGUUAACAUCUGCCAUUAGAUUGUAAAUUCCUCAGAAUCAGGAAACAUAGUACACAGAGACGGAUACAUUAUGGCAAAUUGAAUGUAAUGGACUUCUCUACUAGCAGCAAUGCAAUGAUCCAGGACAAUUCUGAGGGACUUAUGAGAAAGAACACUAUCCACAUUCAGAGGAAAAAUUGUAGGAGCAGAAACACAGAAUGAUUGAUCACGUGGUUCCGUGGGGAUAUGAUUGGGGUUUUGGCACUAAAAGAUCACUCUAUGAUAUGAAUAUGAAUAAUAUAGAAAUAGGUUUUGAACAAUGAUACAUGUAUAUCUCCCAGUAAAAUUGCUUGUCAGCUAUGAGAGGGGGAGUAAAGAGGGGUGAGAAAAAUCAUGAAUCAUGAAACCAUGGAAAAAUAUUAUAAAUAAAUAAAUAAUUUAAGAAAUUG